CUGUGAAACAGGUGAAGUGGGAUCUGAAGG
rnacentral:piRNA from 1 species